rnacentral:rRNA from 1 species
AUUGAACGCUGGCGGCAUGCUUUACACAUGCAAGUCGAACGGUAACAGGCCUUCGGGUGCUGACGAGUGGCGAACGGGUGAGUAAUGCAUCGGAACGUACCCAGAGGUGGGGGAUAACGCAGCGAAAGCUGUGCUAAUACCGCAUGUGAUCUGAGGAUGAAAGCAGGGGACCGAGCAGCAAUGUUUGGCCUCGCGCCUUUGGAGCGGCCGAUGUCGGAUUAGCUAGUUGGUGGGGUAAAGGCCUACCAAGGCGACGAUCCGUAGCUGGUCUGAGAGGACGACCAGCCACACUGGGACUGAGACACGGCCCAGACUCCUACGGGAGGCAGCAGUGGGGAAUUUUGGACAAUGGGCGCAAGCCUGAUCCAGCAAUGCCGCGUGCGGGAAGAAGGCCUUCGGGUUGUAAACCGCUUUUGGCAGGAACGAAACGGUGUCCGCUAAUACCGGGCGCUAAUGACGGUACCUGCAGAAUAAGCACCGGCUAACUACGUG